UAAUUAUUUAUUUACUUUUUUUUCAUUUUUUAUUAUUUCUAAUUUGAAUUUCAUUAUUUUUUUUUUGUUUUAGUAUUAUUUUUAAUUAAUAUUUUUUGUUAUAGUUUAUUUGUACGGUUAAGGUUUAUUUUAAGAUUUAUUAAAAAUAGAUUUUUUAUUGUACCUUUUGUAUCAGGGUAGAUUAAAUUUUUAUUAAUUAUUUAUUUAUCUCGAAUUAAUUUGAUUUAUAUAUUUGUGUUAGUUAUGGUUGGAUAUUUAUUUAUUACAAAUGUAUAGAUGUGAUAUGCUAUUCAUAAAUUAAUAUAUCUAGUUUUCUAAUAAGUGAAUUUAAUUCAGUUAUUUUUAUUUAAGAAAUAUUUUUUAAUUAUUCUUAUUUAUUAAUAAUAAGGUUAUGGGGGAUUAGCUCUUUAAUUUUAUUAUAAUUUAUUUUAUUUGGAUGAUAUGUAGGUUUUGUAAUGACCAUUAUUUAUUAAUAUUUUAUAAUUUAUUAUUUUUUAUUUUUGAUUUAUUAUUAAUUUAAUAAUUUAUUUGAAUUAUUUAUUUAAUAUUUAUUUAUAUUAAUUAAUGAUUUAAUUAGUAUAUUUUUAUUUAUUUUGUUUAAAAUUUUUUAAUUUUUUUUAAGGAAUUAGGCAAAAUUAUUUAUUCGCCUGUUUAUCAAAAACAUCUUUUCUUGAUUUAAUUAUUUGAGAUUUAACCUGCUCUAUGAUUUAUUUAAUGGCCGCAGUAUUCUGACUGUGCAAAGGUAGCAUAAUCAUUAGUUCAUUAAUUGUGAACUUGUAUGAAUGGUUGGACGAAAUAUUUACUGUCUCAAUUAAAUAUAUUGAAUUUAAAUUUUGAGUUAAAAUGCUCAAUUGUUUUUAUAGGACGAGAAGACCCUAUAGAUCUUUAUUUUUAAUUUUAUUAUUUGUUUUAGUUUAUUUAUUUAUAAUAUUUUUAUAUUUUUGGUUGGGGUGACAUGGAGAUAAUAUUAACUCUCUAUUUUAUUUUACAUUUAUUUUUGAAUUAUUGACCUUGUAUUAUUGUUAUAAGAUUUAGAUACCUUAGGGAUAACAGCGUAAUUUUAUCUGAGAGUUCAUAUUGACGAUAUAGAUUGCGACCUCGAUGUUGAAUUAAGAUUAUAAUUAGGUGAAGUAGUUUAAUUAUUGGGUCUGUUCGACCUUUAAAUUCUUACAUGAUUUGAGUUCAGACCGGUGUGAGCCAGGUUGGUUUCUAUCCAUAAAAUUUUAAUUUAUAUUAGUACGAAAGGACCAUAUAUAUCAAAAAUUUUGUUUAUUUUGAUUUUAAUU
rnacentral:rRNA from 1 species